GAUGAACGCUAGCUACAGGCUUAACACAUGCAAGUCGAGGGGAAACGACAUCGAAAGCUUGCUUUUGAUGGGCGUCGACCGGCGCACGGGUGAGUAACGCGUAUCCAACCUGCCCACCACUUGGGGAUAACCUUGCGAAAGUAAGACUAAUACCCAAUGACGUCUCUAGAAGACAUCUGAAAGAGAUUAAAGAUUUAUCGGGGAUGGAUGGGGAUGCGUCUGAUUAGCUUGUUGGCGGGGUAACGGCCCACCAAGGCGACGAUCAGUAGGGGUUCUGAGAGGAAGGUCCCCCACAUUGGAACUGAGACACGGUCCAAACUCCUACGGGAGGCAGCAGUGAGGAAUAUUGGUCAAUGGGCGAGAGCCUGAACCAGCCAAGUAGCGUGCAGGAUGACGGCCCUAUGGGUUGUAAACUGCUUUUAUAAGGGAAUAAAGUGAGUCUCGUGAGACUUUUUGCAUGUACCUUAUGGAUAAGGACCGGCUAAUUCCGUGCCAGCAGCCGCAGUAA
rnacentral:rRNA from 1 species